GCAUAUAAGUAAGCGGAGGAUAAGAAACUAAAUAGGAUUCCCUUAGUAAUGGCGAAUGAACAGGGAUAAGCUCAGCAUGGAAAUUGGGGCCUCUGGCCUUGAAUUGUAGUCUUGAGAUGUGCUACCAACGGAGGCGCAGAUGUAAGCCUCUUGGAAAAGAGCGUCAGGGAGGGUGAGAGUCCCGUAUGUCAUCUGCAGUUCUCUGUGCACGGUACAUUUUCCAAGAGUCACGUUCCUCGGGAUUGGAGCGCAAAUUGGGUGGUAAAUUUCAUCUAAAGCUAAAUAUUGGUUCGAGACCGAUAGCAAACAAGUACCAUGAGGGAAAGGUGAAAAGGACUUUGAAAAGAGAGUUAAAAGUGCCUGAAAUUGCUGAAAGGGAAGCGAAUGGAACCAGUUGUUCUUGGCGAGUAUUGGUGUUGUCUAAAGUGAGGGCUUGCCACUUCAGCGCAAGUGUGGUGGCAGGUUUUGAUCUGGAUGCGAUACUGCAUCUCGCCUUGCAUGUCAACGUCAGUUCAUAAUUGAGGAAAACUCUAAGGACUUGGUAAUUUGCUUCCGGGUGACUGAAUGUCUCUAGUGGAACUCAUUUUUGAACUGCUUUUGUAUGUCUUGUUGCAAUGCUCUGCGUGCUUGCCUGUGAUCCGGUGCUUGCUCUGUUUGGCAUGGGGUUGCUGGUGCCUGGAGCAUGUCCUUGACAUAAGUACGAUGACGAAAUGGUUUUAUUCGACCCGUCUUG
rnacentral:rRNA from 1 species